rnacentral:rRNA from 1 species
CAGUAGCCACGGUAAUGCGUAGGUGGCAAGCGUUGUCCGGAAUUAUUGGGCGUAAAGGGCUCGCAGGCGGUUGCUUAAGUCUGAUGUGAAAGCCCCCGGCUCAACCGGGGAGGGUCAUUGGAAACUGGGAAACUUGAGUGCAGAAGAGGAGAGUUGAAUUCCACGUGUAGCGGUGAAAUGCGUAGAGAUGUGGAGGAACACCAGUGGCGAAGGCGACUCUCUGGUCUGUAACUGACGCUGAGGAGCGAAAGCGUGGGGAGCGAACAGGAUUAGAUACCCCAGUAGUCCCUGUCUCUUAUAA